GUUGGGGGAGUAAUAACGUUAACUAGCUCAGUCGUUUCUAUAGUUUACAUCAUUGGUCUGCCCUACUAUUGGCAGAAAUCACCGAUACUCUGUUUUCUAACUGUACUAGGACACUGGUUGCUAAUAAAUGUCAUCUUCCACUUCACAAUGGCAGCAAUUACUGACCCAGGUACACCUCCAAAGGGAAUUUUAAUCAGUGAAGCAAUGUGUGUUUGUAAAAAAUGUAUAACACCGAAGUCACCUCGCACACAUCAUUGCUUGGUGUGUAACUGCUGCAUUCUCAAGAUGGAUCAUCACUGCUCUUGGCUCAACAAUGGUGUGGGGCACUUUAACCACCGUUAUUUCUAUAUGUAUAUGGUAUAUAUGACAUUGGGGAUAAUUUUCAUCAUAACGCUUGGUUUUUAAAUAGCAUACAGUGAGAUAUGGCUAGGUGGAGAAAUGGGUGUAGGAUUAAGUGAUGCCCUGGAUUUGGUGAUGAAUGACAGUACCCCCCAGGAACAGGAUGAGUUAGAAGGCUACCCAGUAAGGAUC